UACGUAGGAGGCGAGCGUUGUCCGGAAUUACUGGGCGUAAAGAGCGCGUAGGCGGCACGGUACGACCGGUGUGAAAGCCCCCGGCUCAACUGGGGAGGGUCACCGGUAACGGCCGAGCUAUGAGUGCAGGAGAGGGUCGUGGAAUUCCCGGUGUACGCGGUGAAAUGCGUAGAGAUCGGGAGGAACACCAGAGGCGAAGGCGGCGACCUGGACAGGCACUGACACUCAACUACGAAAGCGUGGGGAGCAAACAGG
rnacentral:rRNA from 1 species